UAUAUAAUGCUUAAUAUUCGUUGAAACUUGUCUCAUUUCACGACUGAGCAAGACUGAGUACAACUCUUCAAUUCAUGACAAUUCUUUAAUAACUUCGUCUUUGUCUUUGAACAUUCCUUUUAAUUCUUUCUUUAACUUAUAAUUUCUUUAUUAUUUGCGGCUUUCUUCACUGCGUUGCUACCAUCAGGUUUUCACCUUAUGAAUAAUACAUGAAUUGUCUAGUUGUGCUCAGGCUUUUAUACGCUCUGCUAGGGGAAGAAAGUACAAAACUACGACUCGUUUUCCCUAUACGCAAUAUAGUUCGUUAAUUUCAAGCAAGUUUCAGCAAACCACAAAUCGUCCAAAGCCACGCCGAGUCAUGUCCGCUACGUUAGUAGUGGGACUACUUCAUCUUUAAAACUAUUUGCUUACUCAUGCAUGUAAGCUAUCUUUAAUUAAUAAUGUGAAUUAGCUAUAUAGUAUAAUAAUAGUGAAUAUAUAUGUAAAAUUACAUGCCAUAACAACUAACUAUACGCCCAAUUCAAGACACUCUUAGACUGGGAGAAAAAUGUCGAAGUAUCCAAACCCGAAUACGUUAUAAAGAGCUUGAUUUUUUUUACAAUUUUCAACCUAUUUUCCUCUAAUUAAUAGCGAGCUUAAGCAAGCGACGUUUUUGUCAACAUGGACGUCAGAUUGUCGAGAGGGGACUGGAUUAAAAACUGUGUUUGUGUCAGUUUGUGGUAAUCUUCAACACAUACUGUAUGACAAAAGAUUUUUAAACUUUCCUGCUUUCUCACACGAGCGCUAUGAUGCAAAAUGGCGCCAAAAUUAGUUCUACCAAUUUUCAGGUGACGUUCGUGUUGAGAAAAACGUCGCUUCAACUCAAUAAUACCAAAACGAGACCCACAUAUAGCCAGACUCCCUGACAGGAAUCGAACCUGCUGCCCUAUUCACCCAUACACCUUACAUUGGCACCACCCAAGUGGCACAUGAAUUUCCGGUUAGAGCUCGACAACUGGACUCUGUAGCUCAGUUGGUUAGAGCUUGACAACUGGACUCUGUAGCUCAGUUAUGAUGCAAAAUGGCGCCAAAAUUAGUUCUACCAAUUUUCAGGUGACGUUCGUGUUGAGAAAAACGUCGCUUCAACUCAAUAAUACCAAAACGAGACCCACAUAUAGCCAGACUCCCUGACAGGAAUCGAACCUGCUGCCCUAUUCACCCAUACACCUUACAUUGGCACCACCCAAGUGGCACAUGAAUUUCCGGUUAGAGCUCGACAACUGGACUCUGUAGCUCAGUUGGUUAGAGC